rnacentral:misc_RNA from 1 species
UACGGAGGGUGCAAGCGUUAAUCGGAAUUACUGGGCGUAAAGCGCGCGUAGGCGGCUUGUUGGGCUAGAUGUGAAAGCCCCGGGCUCAACCUGGGAACUGCAUUUAGAACUGGCAGGCUAGAGUAUGGCAGAGGAGCGUGGAAUUUUCGGUGUAGCGGUGAAAUGCGUAGAGAUCGGAAGGAACACCAGUGGCGAAGGCGACACUCUGGGCCAAUACUGACGCUGAGGUGCGAAAGCGUGGGGAGCAAACAGG